CCUACGGGAGGCAGCAGUGGGGAAUCUUGCGCAAUGGGCGAAAGCCUGACGCAGCAACGCCGCGUGCGGGAAGAAGGCUUUCGGGCUGUAAACCGCUUUCAGCAGGAACGAAAAUGACGGUACCUGCAGAAGAAGGAGCGGCCAACUAUGUGCCAGCAGCCGCGGUGAUACAUAGGCUUCAAGCGUUGUCCGGAUUUAUUGGGCGUAAAGAGUUCGUAGGCGGUCAAGUAAGUCGGGUGUGAAAAUUCUGGGCUCAACCCAGAGACGCCACCCGAUACUGCUUAACUUGAGUUCGAUAGGGGAGUGGGGAAUUCCUAGUGUAGCGGUGAAAUGCGCAGAUAUUAGGAGGAACACCGGUGGCGAAGGCGCCACUCUGGAUCGAUACUGACGCUGAGGAACGAAAGCAUGGGUAGCAAACAGGAUUAGAUACCCUGGUAGUCCAUGCCGUAAACGGUGGGCACUAGGUGUGGGUUUCUAUUAACGAAAUCCGCGCCGUCGCUAACGCAUUAAGUGCCCCGCCUGGGGAGUACGGUCGCAAGACUUAAAACCNCAAANAGAAUAGAGCGNGAGAGUGCGAGACGACACGAGGAGAG
rnacentral:rRNA from 1 species